UCGUUCAGAUGUUAGCUGAGGGAUAGUCAAUCUUAUAACUUCCCCAUCAUUAUUUGGUGUUAGGCCAACAUCAGAACUGACAAUUGCCUUCUCAAUACCUUUCAAACUCGACUUGUCAUAUGGCUGCACAAGAAGAGAACUUCCAUCUGGAGUGCUUAUCUGUGCAAUGCUCUUCAAGCUGACUGGACUGCCAUAGUAGUCAACCUCAACUCGGUCAAGCAUGGAAGGAUUUG
rnacentral:misc_RNA from 1 species